GAAAUGCGAUACGUAAUGUGAAUUGCAGAAUUCAGUGAAUCAUCGAAUCUUUGAACGCACCUUGCACUCUUUGGUAUUCCGAAGAGUAUGUCUGUUUGAGUGUCAUGAAACUCUCAACCCCCUCAUUUUGUAAUGAAAUGCAGCGCGGGCUUGGAUUAUGGCUGUCUGUCGGCGUAACUGCCGACUCAGCUGAAAUAUACGAGCAACCCAGUUUUAAAACCCUGACGGCUUGACUCGGCGUAAUAACUAUUUCGCUGAGGACGUCUAACCUUUAAAUCGUUAGUGGUGCUUCUAAUGCAUUUAUAAUUUAAGCUUUAGACCUCAAAUCAGUCAGGACUACCCGCUGAACUUAA
rnacentral:rRNA from 1 species